AAGUCGUAACAAGGUUUCCGUAGGUGAACCUGCGGAAGGAUCAUUAACACGUACUUACGUAUCAACACCUGUGAACUGUUUUGAUGUCCUGUAAUGAAUAGAGUGUCUCAGAGAUGAUAAUGAUAGUGAGAAUGCUUUGAUCAUUUCGUAUGAUUGGUGUUCUCUGUCUCUGUUGGCCAUUUCAUCUUCUUCGGAAGUUGAAACUGUUCUUACUUGGCAUUUUUAUCUAUCAUUGUUUUAACACCUUUUACUUAUUUGACUAAUUAAAUGACUGGUCGAAAGACUUUUCAUUAUUUACGGAAACGUAAUUUUACAACUCUUAGCAAUGGAUAUCUUGGCUCUCGUAACGAUGAAGAGCGCAGC
rnacentral:misc_RNA from 1 species